rnacentral:rRNA from 1 species
AACUCUUUUAUUAAAGAGAAGGAAGUCAGCUGGUUUCAUAGUAAUUAAUUAUAAAAAUAAUUAAUGAAGGGAACCAACCGAAAUUAUUGAUAAAAUAAUUUUGGGCUCGCAGUAUACGGGAAAACCGUCUGUACUGUGGGGAACCAAGUAGUUCAGCAAUGAAUGAAAAAGGAAAUGCCCGUCAAACCAACCGAGUUUUGCAUUGAUGAGGCCCGUUAGGGACGAGUCUUUGUAAGACAAGGUAGGUUAAGUCGUCACAAGGUAUCCGUAGGGGAACCUGCGGAUGGAUCACCUCCUAA